AUUGAACGCUGGCGGCAGGCUUAACACAUGCAAGUCGAGCGAGCGGCGGACGGGUGAGUAAUGUCUGGGAAACUGCCUGAUGGAGGGGGAUAACUACUGGAAACGGUAGCUAAUACUGCAUACCAUCAGAUGUGCCCAGAUGGGAUUAUCUAGUAGGUGGGGUAAUGGCUCACCUAGGAGACGAUCCCUACCUGUUCUGAGAGGAUGACCAGCCACACUGGAACUGUGACGCGGUCCAGACUCCUCCGGUAGGCAGCAGUGGGGAGUAGUGCACAUUGAGCGGAAGCCUGAUGCAGCCAUGCCGCGUGUGUGAAGAAGGCAUUCGGGUUGUAAUGCACUUUCAGCGAGGGGGCGGUACAAGAAGAAGAAGCACCGGCUAACUCCGUGCCAGCCGCCGCGGUAAUAC
rnacentral:rRNA from 1 species